AUGGCCGGCGGAGCGGCGGCGGCGGAGGAAGGCCGGUCCGGCGAGGGGGGCACGGUGGUGGUGGGCGUGCGGGCGGACGCGGAGAGCCGGGCGCUGCUCACGUGGGCCUUCGUCAUGCUCGCCGUCUACGAGGGCUUCUGCAACCUCAAGCAGAUCAAUCUCAAGGUGAAGAUUUGCAAGGGCUCGUCGGUCCGCAAGGCGCUGGUUCGCGAGGCCACCCUGUUCGGGGCCUCCAAGCUUGUCCUGGGCAUCACCAAGAGGAGGCNNNNNNNNNGGUCCUCCCUGUCAGUUGCCAAGUACUGCGCGAAGAAGCUGCCGGCAAAGUGCGCGGUGCUCGCCGUCAAUGGCGGCAAGAUCGUCUACCGGAGAGAGUCGAAUGCCCACUCGGGCAAGGUGUCGGCGGAGGUUCCUGCCUGUGGUGAUGAUGAGAUGUACUGUGUGCUACCGUUCGGUGCCCGUCAGCAGGGUGAAGAAGAGAGUGAGUUGCCUUGUGAUGAACCGAGCAAAGAUGGCGACGCCGCCGACGAAGAACAACAUGAUGUUGGUGCAAAGGGCAGUCAGCCAGAGGAAGAACAGCAGCCAUCAUGUGUGGAACCUGCUGAAUUGUCGACGGUUCAGGUUCAGACUGAAGCAGCAGAGCCUUCUGACAAGGACAAAGAGUCAACAAUGGGCCAGAAAGAUGUGGUCGCUGAUCUACCAGGCGAGGGUGCCAGUGUGCUGUACUGCGUGUUGCCGGAGAGGAGUGACCAUUCAGUUGCAAGUACUUCGAGUCACAAAGAUGAUGGGGAUCUGUUCUGCCGGCUCUCAAAGAAUGGUGGACAUUCAGGUGGGAGUUCUGGGGGAUCCAAGCGUUCCGUUGGUGUAAGAAGUGUGUUUAGGGCCAUCAGGCGGAGCAGUAGUUUCUCCAGUGAUAUUCCAUUGAGCUUUGAAACAUCUGCUGAUAAGAGAGAUGGCUCGGUUUCCAUGGGUGCCACCGAACGUUCUUCUUCCGCCGUAUCUACGGAACCUGAGGAUUUGCAAAAGGAAACACCUACUAGAAGGUCUGACGGCUGCCGCCUGCGAAGGAGAAUCUUCCACCAUGAAAGAACCUCAUCUUUUGAGUGGGCCAAAGUGUCCAUGGUUCAAUGGGCGAUGAGGCUCCCAAGCCGUUACAGUUCUGUCCACCCGGACAACAAAUCCUUAAAAUCUGAUACAAGUCCGAGGUUGCGUGGUGAUUCAGAAUGCGAUUCCACUUCCACUGCUGAGCCAGAAUCUAUAUUUUCUUUCUCUUUGUAUGAUGUGGCAUGGCCUCCCAGUGAACUGGGAUCUCUUCAAGAAGAGUAUUCUCCAGUAUGUAGGCUGUUUAGUUAUGAGGAGCUGAAACUUGCUACAUCAAACUUCUCACCAGAUAUGUUGAUUGGGAAGGGAGGAACUAGCCACGUUUACAAGGCACAGUUAUAUGAUGGCACCUUGUAUGCUGCAAAGAUUCUGAAACCUUCAGUUGAUGCACUUCAGGAGUUUAUUACGGAGAUUGAGACUGUAACCAACUUGCAAAAUGAGAAUAUUGUCUCACUAAGGGGAUUCAGCUUUGACAACUACUUCCUUGUGUUGGUGUACGAUUACAUGCACCAGGGAAGCUUAGACAAAGCGCUUCAUGGCAAGUGUGAGUAUAGCCUUAGCUGGGAAAAGAGAAAUAAGAUAGCAAUUCACAUUGCAAAGGCGCUUGAAUUUCUGCAUCAUGGUGGUGUCGCGCAUUCUGUGAUUCAUGGAGAUGUUAAAUCUGCAAACAUCCUCCUCUCAGAGGAUUUCGAGGCCCAGCUGUGCGAUUUUGGGUUGGCAAAGAAAGUUUCAGCUUCAACCCCCCACCUAACAUGCACUGACAUCACAGGAACUUUUGGGUACAUGGCACCUGAAUAUUUUUCGCACGGGAAGGUGAACAAGAAAAUCGAUGUGUACGCUUUUGGGGUUGUGCUGCUGGAGAUAAUUUCAGGGAGAAAACCCAUUAUAACAGGGUGCGAGAAGGGCCAGGAAAGCCUGGUUGGAUGGGCAAGGCCACUACUUUCAAGUGGGGAGAUCAAGCAGCUGGUGGAUUCGGCUCUGGGGAACGACUACGACUGUGAUGAGAUGGAGAGGAUGACGCUCGCUGCCUCGCUGUGCACGAGGACAUCUUCCGAUUCCAGACCGGAAACACCACUUGUGCUGAAGCUGCUUGAGGGGGACGACGAGACGGUCCAAUGGGCGAGGUCGCAGAUGUGCGCGGGCUCCGACGUGUCGGACGAGGAGGCGAUGACCCCGCGCUCCAACAUGCAGUCCCACCUGAACCUGGCGCUGCUGGGUGUGGAUGAGGAGGACACGCUGUCGCGGUGCAGCACGGAGCAGACCGCCGACACCUCCGCGGACGGCGGGUACUGGAGCCGGUCCUCGAGCUUCGACUAGGCGAUCGAGCCAGCCGUCGCGUGGUUCCUGUACAGUUGCUGACGAUUAUUGUCAAUUGGUUGGAACGGGUAAUUGCUGCAGUGGAGGCAUCUCACGUCCGGGGGAGAUUCUUUGGUGGGUGCUUGGCUUGGCUUGCUCAUGUAGGAAGGUUUCUUGAGUGGGUGCUUGGCUUGGGGUGCUCAGCUCAUGUGUGUAUAUGCAGGGAGAGUGAUGUCUGAUGGUGUUGCUGUUGCUAAUUUGAAUUAGGAAGUUGCUUUUGUAGUUUUGUAGUAGCAGUUGUAGAUCUAUCUAUCUAACCUUUGCUGGCCUUGGAUGGCAAAGCAUUCUACGAUUAUGGUGAAUGAAUGUAUGGUUUCCUGGU
rnacentral:rRNA from 1 species